AUACCCUCUUAAAGAUCCAUAGUAUAUACUCCCCAUGAGUAACACUUGAUUCGAGGGUAUGCCAGAGCAAAAGAAUGAUUGGGUGUCCAUAUAACUUAACAUAGUUACAUUUGGCCAAUAAUCGUUCGGACA
rnacentral:snoRNA from 1 species